AGGGGUGUAGUUCAGGGGGAGAACACUUGCCUCACAUAUAAGAGGCUCUGAUUUCCAUUCUCAGCACUACAA
rnacentral:tRNA from 1 species